ensembl:snoRNA
CUGUAAUGAUGCUGAUCAGAUGAACUGAAAUGAGCCUGUAGACAAAUUUAACAUUGAAGAA